AGUUUUCUUAACAGACUGUUCAGA
rnacentral:siRNA from 1 species